UGGCACCCAGCAUGUGGGGCUUGAGUACAAGGGACCAGUGAAGAUCACUGCAGUGGUUUUGGUUGGCCGACACAUUUUGUAUGGAAAAUGUCUUGCGGGAACCUGGUGUCUCAACUAGGAAUCCUGGUAAGUUUGCGGUGAUCAUUGGGAUAGAUGUUGAAUAGCCAUGAAUUAUUUAUGGAAGGGUUGAAAAAGGCUUUAAAGGCAUGAGGGAUAAAGGUUAAAAAUGGUUUUGCUUGCAUUUUUUGAUUUUUGUUAAAGAGAUUUGCCCUU
rfam:Mus musculus chromosome 13, GRC primary reference assembly.